rnacentral:lncRNA from 1 species
CGGGCACGUGUGCGCGGCCCCGGGAGCACGCGCGCGAGCCCCCAGUGUGUGGCAGCGGCGGCGGCAGCGGCGCGGCGAGGCUGAGGCUCUUGUUUACCAGCAUUAACUCCACUGAGCGGAAAAAAAAAAAAAAAAGGAAAAAAACCCGAGGAGGAGCGAGCGCACCAGGCGAACUCGAGAGAGGAGAGCAGGGGAGAGGGACGCUGCCAGCGAGCCUGUUCCCGGCGCGCCCGUGGCCGGCGCUCGCAGACCCUCGGCCCGGCUCCCCGGACCCCCCUCCCGCACCCUCCACGCCCCUCCCGCGUGAGGGGACCUCCACCGCGCGCCGCGCGCCUCAGCUUUGACCUUCAGAGAGCCGGAGCCCCCGCGCACGGAGUCUGCGGCUGCGGGCGGGGGCCGGCGCGGGGCGGGCGGCGGCGGGGAGCCUGGGCUGCGCGGCGGGAGUGCUAAGCGCGGCGCGGCCGGCCCGCCGCUUUGUGUGUGUCCUGGAUUUAGGAAGGAGCUCGCGGCGGCGGCGGCGGCGGCGGCGGCGGCGCUGAGGGAGGAGGCGGCAGUGAGCGGAGCCCGGAGGAGGAGGGGGAGCCGCUCAUUCAUUUUUACUCCGCAUUUCUGUCCCUCCCCGGCCUCGCCCGCGACCUAGACUUCGGGGCAGUCUUGUGAACUGCGUCGCGCUUUCCCAGCGCGGAGGCUGGGGCGUCCGGCAGCCUCCCUCUCAGUCUGGGGGUCGGGUUUGUUUGUCCUCGCCGAGACGGAUUUUGGCUUUGCCCCUUUUCUUAGCAGUUUUACCCGUCUUUUGCCUCUCUGGGUUUGAAAAUGGAGGCCGACGACGCCGACAUCCCGCCCAGGCGCGCCUCGGGUUCCCGACUCAGCCGAGCCUUGGGCCGCUGCUGCCGGCGCUGAGGGGCCGCNUUUUUUUUUUCC